UACGUAGGGGGCAAGCGUUGUCCGGAAUCACUGGGCGUAAAGCGCACGUAGGCGGAUGUGUCAGUCAGGGGUGAAAUCCCGGAGCUCAACUUCGGAACUGCCUUUGAUACAGCACAUCUGGAGUCCGGAAGAGGUGGGUGGAAUUCCUAGUGUAGAGGUGAAAUUCGUAGAUAUUAGGAAGAACACCGGUGGCGAAGGCGGCCCACUGGUCCGGUACUGACGCUGAGGUGCGAAAGCGUGGGAGCAAACGG
rnacentral:rRNA from 1 species